GCGUCUGGGCACGUCACAGUCUCACCCGGAAGUGCCGUGACAGCUCAUGUCAAAAAUCCUUCAUCCAUUUCGUGGAACUGCGAAACAAAGCCUGCCAAGCAGCUCAGGCUUUGGACAGAUACGCAGUACUGACACACCUACAGACAGAGAGACCUGACGGGCAGAGUCCAGCUGGCUAGUCAAGGCAUCAGCAAGCGGAACAGAUGUGUGAGGGACUUUGAUGUAGGCUACCUGUGGCUAUUUUGGAGUCUGGCCAUCCUGUUGUAUUGGAUUCAUCUCUCCGUACGGCAGGUGUUAUUUAAGAGGCUGUCAGUUUAACUUAUUACUGGCCCUCUUCACCCGACGCCUGGCUGGUACUCUGGCCCCAUUCAAGUUCUCUCCUCAUCAAGGCUGGCAAUGUCCAGAGUCCCAAGCCCCCCUCCCCUGGCGGAAAUGUCCAGCGGCCCCGUGGCUGAGAGCUGGUGUUACACUCAGAUCAAAGUGGUGAAGUUCUCCUACAUGUGGACCAUCAACAACUUCAGCUUCUGUCGUGAGGAGAUGGGAGAGGUCAUCAAAAGCUCCACUUUCUCCUCAGGAGCCAACGACAAACUCAAAUGGUGUUUGCGUGUGAAUCCUAAAGGUCUGGAUGAGGAGAGCAAAGACUAUCUGUCACUUUACUUGCUUUUAGUCAGCUGCCCAAAGAGUGAGGUGCGCGCCAAGUUUAAGUUUUCUAUCCUCAAUGCCAAGGGAGAAGAGACCAAAGCCAUGGAGAGCCAGAGGGCGUACCGUUUUGUCCAGGGGAAGGACUGGGGUUUCAAAAAGUUCAUUAGGAGGGACUUCCUGCUGGACGAGGCCAACGGUCUGCUGCCUGAUGACAAACUGACACUUUUCUGUGAGGUGAGUGUGGUUCAGGACUCUGUGAACAUCUCGGGCCAGAACACAAUGAAUAUGGUGAAAGUUCCUGACUGCAGGCUGGCUGAGGAGCUCGGAGAUUUGUGGGAAAACUCGAGAUUCACCGACUGCUCCCUGUGUGUGGCUGGUCAGAAAUUCCAGGCGCACAAAGCCAUCUUGGCAGCACGCUCGCCGGUGUUCAGUGCAAUGUUUGAGCACGAGAUGGAGGAGAGUAAGAAGAACCGUGUGGAGAUAAAUGACGUGGAGCCAGAUGUCUUCAAAGAGAUGAUGUGCUUCAUCUACACAGGCAAGGCCCCCAACCUAGACAAGAUGGCUGAUGACCUGCUGGCUGCAGCUGACAAGUAUGCUCUGGAGAGGCUGAAGGUGAUGUGUGAGGACGCUCUGUGCACAAGUCUGUCCGUGGAGAACGCUGCAGAGGUCCUCAUCCUCGCCGACCUGCACAGUGCCGACCAGCUCAAGACGCAGGCUGUGGACUUCAUCAACUAUCAUGCAGCUGAUGUGAUGGAGACGUCAGGCUGGAAGUCGAUGGUGAUCUCUCACCCACACCUGGUAGCAGAGGCCUAUCACUCCCUGGCCUCGGCCCAGUGCCCCUUCCUGGGUCCCCCAAGGAAACGACUCAAACAGUCCUAACGGUCCAGGGAGAAACUCUUCAGUCCUAACCCUGCUGUGUCCUCCUGUACCAGCAACAUCACUGCUCCUCCCUUCCAGCCCUCCUCUCGCUCCUACAGUAUCCAGAGACGCCCAAGACUGAUACCCAGGACUUGGCUAGAUAUGGCUAGGGCAGCUACUCAACUGGGCAGAACAGAGACUGAUGCCACAGAGGAGAAUGUUCCCCACUGGCCUGGCUGUAAUGAGACCUGUGGAGCCAAGGAGUGAUGGAGUUCAACUCAUCAGGACAACACUCAUCGCAACAGAGAGAAAGAGAGAGAGAAAGGUAGCAGGGAAAGGUAGAAAUAAAAGAGGGAUGUUGGAUGGUGUAAAAAGGAAUAAGGCAACGAGAAUAAUGAGCAAAUAAGUGAUCAUUUUCCCAAUUUUUGUUUGUCAAAAUCUCAUAAAUGUUGUCUAAACUCAAUUAGUUUAUUCGGCUAUAUUUCUGAUCAAAGAUUUUAAAUCAGUCGACAUCGUUUUCUUGAUAAAUAUCCUCUUCUGAAAGCUACCUUCUGUACACCAUCAAUGGCUGAAAUUCCAUUUGGAAUUAUUAGCUCAGUUGCUAAGUAGCAGGGGAAAUAUUUUACUACCCGCCUCCCUCUACAGUAUUAAUCCUGUCCAAAUAGGACUGAAGAUAUAUAAUGGGAGGAGAGAUGAAUGAAAAAAAAAAAUAGGGCCUGAGCCUGUUCUGGCAUACAUUAGGCCAGAGCAAGGGAGGGACAUGUAAAGUAGAGUAGAGCUUUUACGUCCCCGAGGCACAAUUUGGUUUACAGAGAGUAGUCAAAAGAACAUUAAAUGUAAAAAUAAAGUAAUAGACAAAGCAACACAAUAAAUGCAAACAAGACUCAGAGUCUACAGCCAUGGUACCAGCUCUGUGAGGCUUUAUUUAGGCAGACCUCGUGCAGGCACUAGACGAAAAGUCAGGGGAUCACCAGAGUUAUUAGGAUUCAUUAUAUGGGCACCAUGGAUAUCUGUAAAUUUCAGGCCAGUCCAUUCGAUAGUUGUUGAAAUAUUUCAGCCUCAAACAAAGCGACAGACCAACCUAGGCCUAAAAUACGAACACACAGACAUACAGAGAGAACUUGGGUUUGGACAAAAUAUUAGAGACUCCUUUCAGUGUAAUGCAAUCCAAUCCAGCACCACCACUAACUACUGUAUGGACUCAGAUAUUACCACAGAGUUCAAUCAGCUCCUCUCUGACAAAGAGUCAACAAAAGAUUUACAUUACAGACAAGAUGUUUUGCAGGGCUCUUGUACUGGAUUACACUAGAUUCUAAAGGUGUACCUAAUAAACUCAUAAACAGCUGUAAAACAAAUACACAGCAAACUAAUAGAGUCUUCGUCCAGAUGAAUCUUUGUGGUGGCAGAAGUUGAAAUGGCUGUGCACAAAAUAAAACAAAAACAAUGUCUGAAGAGUUAAAACAACAGUGCUCAAGUGGAUAAGUGAAAAGAAAAAACAACAGUGUAUAAACCUAAUACACUCUGCUGCACAGAGUAGCUCAUCUCUGUGAGGCAGGAUUGGGGUCUGGAGUAGGAAAGGAAAAGGGGAAAUAGGGUUGUCUUAUGAGCACUGUGGAUCAUUUUUUACCUGUGCAUGGGUAAAUGAAAGCCCUCUUUUAGCCUCGUUAAGCAUGAUGCACUGCCUCGGCCAUCAGCUCGGCGCUGAUUAAAAUUCGCCCUCCGGAGUUUGAGGGAGCAGCUAGCUGAGGCUGCACUUCUGUGCUCAAAAAGCAAAUGGGCCGAAAGGUCAUGGCUCAGCGACCCUCACAGCCAUGCCUUAUUUAUUUAGUCUUUUACCUCGCCUGCAACUGGGAUGGAGAGAGGGGAGCUCAUGCUCAUAGACUGGCAGUGUACUACACACCUAAAAAUAUGAACUGUUAUCCUGCUGCUCCUAAAUGAUCAAAUCUGAGCUAGUUUUUUGAUGGAGACCUUUACAUGCAGUCUUGUACUUUGAUUUGAUUCCACAGAUGUAAAUAUAUAUGUUAUAAAAAUGGAUAUUAUACUUAGAUUUAGUGGAGAGUUAGAGGACAUUUUAACAUUUGGAUUGGAGGGAUUUCCCUGACGUGAGGCCAUUACAUUUGGUGAGUGUGAAAGCUGUUACCAGAUUUGGGUACGAUCAAGAAAACAGGUCUAAGGUUCACCACAGAAUGCCUCCGUUUAAAAUUUGGCAUGAAGAAAUAUCAAAACACCAAUGGUCACAAUAAGAAUUCUGAAAUACUCAAAGCUGCACUUGUCAGCUACUUUAAGCCAUGCUGGUGGUGCCGCUGUAGGGAAGGCAAUUUUGGUUGGUUGGUCUGUUGGUUCACCACUUUAGUUCAGACUGAAAUAUCUCAACAACUAUUGCGUGACCUGCCAUGAAAAUUUGUGCAUACAUUCAUGGUGCUCAGGGGACGAAUCCAAAUGAUUUUGGAAAUCCCCUGACUUUUCUAAGCAGGCAAACGUUUUCCCUUUCUUCUACAGACGUAUAACAACUACACAUUCAUGUUCCUCAGAGGAUGACUCAUAAUGACUUUGGUAAUGUCAUGAAUUCCCCUCUGUUGACAUCUGGUUAACAUUUGUGGUUUAGAGUGAAACGUCUCAAUAACCUCUUAUUUAGCGACAUCAUCAGGUCAGAAUUGCCUAAAUACUUUCCAAUACUUGGGUUAUUCUAUCUAACAGACUCUAGAAUCUAGAGCACGGGUUCCCAAACUCUUUCAGUUCGAGACAUAAAAAAGGAAUUUGGUGUCUUCCCAGAGACCCAGACUUGCAAAAAUACAGCAAUAGCGGCAAACAUUGACAAGUAAUGUUAGCUAGCUAGCAACACACUAGUCACUAACUAACAGAUACAGGAAUUAAAAUGCUAUAGAAACAAGGACAUAACUCUUGAAGGUCUCUUCUUUGUGCAGGAAAAUUCGUCUGACUUGCCCCGAUGCUGAGAAUGCUUCGUUUGUCUGGGGGUCUGUUCAGCACACAACAUCUGAGCUGAACAGACCAGUGUAGCAAAAAAGAACACUCUUCUUCUAUUUUAGUCAGGGAAAUGAAUUCACAUAUCAUAAUAUUGUUAUGCAUUUUACUCUGAUUAACUCUGACAAAUUGGUGAUCAAAUAAAAAUGGGUCCGUGACCCAUUUUGGGUCGUGGCCCUAAGUUUGGAAAAGACUGGUUUAGAGUCUAGUUAUAUUAGCAAUGGAUCAAAUUAAUCAAGUGUGUAAUGUGAAAGGGGUCACACACAGUGGCAAACCCAUGGAGAAUUAUCAUCAACUCUACAGUUAUCCUCUGAAGAUUGUAGUGUCUUUCAGCUCACUGUUUUGGGUUUUUGGCCCACAAACUCCUCUCUAAUCCAUUUAUCAGUUCCAACUGCAGGUCCGGUGAAAACCUGCAGUGUCAUAAACCUUAUCACAUAAGAAAUCUCUCUUAUUCAAAGGUGCUGCUGUAUAAUGACAUGCCAAGCACCCAGGCAUGACUUUUUUUUGGUAUUGUGUUUUUCUUUGCAUUGUAGGGGAACCAUAUUAACAGUGUUAAAAUAAUGACAUAAAAUUGUCCACUAACCCUCAUGUUUGCAGAACUUGCAUACUCACUGAUAUCAUGGAGGUGAUAUAUGCACAAUACAUAUAUGAUAUAUGUUUCAUAGAUAUGUGUUGCAAAAUUGACCCACAGUUUGGAGGAAUUCUCGUGUGUAGAAAGUAAAUGAAAAACUAAAUUAACCUGGGUACAGACUCAAGUGUCUGAACAAAGUGUAAAAAA